GCAGAGCGGAGGGAGGGAGGGAAGAAGUUAGAAGAGAGAGAAUCAGAGUAGAAGAUUGGCAAAACCCUUCCAUCUAGUUGCGGGACCGAGAUGUGCCUGGAACCUUCUCACUCUCCUUUUUCCUCCCGGACCCAAGAAAGUCGGCCCGGAGCUGUGAGAUGGAGAAAUUGAGGCUGGGACAGAAGCAAGGAUGUGCCCCGGGGCACAUGGUGGGUGAGCUGAAGCUCGGUACAAUCAAGGACCUACCUGAUGUCAUGUAGCUCACAGAGCGGAUUCGGGAUAUGAUGCAGGCAGCCUGCCACUCAACGCAUUGCGCUUACCCACCACACUUUAGUGCUUCCCGUCAUUGUGGAUAUUAAUCCACAAGGGUCCCUUCAACUUUGUUCUGAGAUUUGAUGCCUAGGCUUUUAUCCUUUUAUUAAUAUGGAAUCGCUUUCUAGAAAAUAGAUAUUCUAAUGAGUUUUUUUUAAUAUCGCAAACAUGCUUUCCUGUCAUUUGUAAUGAGUCAGCUUCUGACAAGCUUAUUAAUUGAACGUUAUUUUUUUCUCCACCUAAACUACCUUUGCAAAGUUCACAUACAGUUAUUUAUGGUUUAAGAGCAUCACAUAUGUAAACUGAAGUAUGUUUAUUAAGGUUAGAAUUAACAGUGAAUGAUUUGAUUUCACUGAUUGGGUAACUGAGGAAAUGAACAGGUAAUUAGGUAUUUACAGAAGAAGGUCAGGAGCGGUUCCUGGGAGGGGCCAGUCAGUCAGAGCCAUUCCAGGAGCCUUUGCCCAGCCUUGCCUCCCCCAAAACCACCCCACUGUGGGGCAG